rnacentral:rRNA from 1 species
AUGGUAUCAGAGCCAUCUAGGCUAAGAAUUUCGGUACAAAAUGCAUACACAGAAAGAAAAUUCCUCCCUCCACCCCCCUCCCCCCCAAAGAACCCUAGCAGGGCAGAGACAAACAACAACAAAAAAGCAAAAAGUUCACCGGCAAAGGGCCUUGGCCCCCGCCGGCAAAGUGCGCCGCCACUCCGGCCGCGCCAGUUCCUCUCGAUCCGAACGAGCAUCGGCAAGCCGAGCCGUCUGGACGAAGAACAACCCCGCAAGGGGCAAAGGGCACUGCGACCAAUCCGCUCGACGGUGGCGCGCUCACCGCAAGGUGGACGCGCAGCCGGCGAGGGGGAAGGCCACGGCGCUGCUGCCAUUCGCUCUGCCGUUGUAGAACUCGAAUGGGAGCAAAGGGGGCAGCAGGUUCUCUCUCUCUCUCUGCCACAGGGUGUUAAGGAUGAAAGAAAAGAAAAAAAAACAGAAGGGGGAAGGGAAAAAGUGGAGCCUCGCCGCGCCGGGGAGCCUCGCUAG